rnacentral:rRNA from 1 species
CUUGAACGCUGGCGGCAUGCCUUACACAUGCAAGUCGAACGUUAACAGGUCUUCGGAUGCUGACGAGUGGCGAACGGGUGAGUAAUACAUCGGAACGUGCCUAGUAGUGGGGGAUAACUACUCGAAAGAGUGGCUAAUACCGCAUUAGCUCCACGGAUGAAAGCACGGGAUCGCAAGACCUUGUGCUACUAGAGCGGCCGAUGGCAGAGUAGGUAGAUGGUGGGAUAAAAGCUUACCAAGCCGACGAUCUGUAGCUGGUCUGAGAGGACGAUCAGACACACUGGGACUGAGACACGGCCCAGGCGCCUACGGGAGGCAGCAGUGGGGAAUUUUGGACAAUGGGCGCAAGCCUGAUCCAGCAAUGCCGCGUGCAGGAUGAAGGCCUUCGGGUUGUAAACUGCUUUUGUACGGAACGAAAAGCCCUGGGUUAAUACCCUGGGGUCAUGACGGUACCGUAAGAAUAAGCACCGGCUAAUUACGUGCCAGCCGCCGCUGUAAAAC